rnacentral:lncRNA from 1 species
CCAAGUCUCACACAUAUGAUGAAUCAUGGUACAUAAACGAAUAUCACAUCUUUACUAUAUAAUAGGAGUUCUGUACAAAAUAAAUAAAUAAUUACAUCCUAAGGAGACGACGCUCCAGCAACCCCAAAGUUGACUGGGAGACGACGGCCUAGACCUCUCAUGAACUCAUCACAACAUCCUCCAUGCGCCUCAUCCUGCGGUACUUGUUCUUGACCUGUGGGGGUGUGAGACAACAAGAGUGAAAUCACAUACAUUCAUCGCUCAACAAGUUGUGGGGAAUAAUGUGCAUGAACUCGCCAAAGGUGGGAGCUCAUGUGAAGUGUAAGCUUACCAAAGAGGAUGGUUAGAGCUGAGCAUUGCUUUUAAAGUUGGUCAAAAUUUUAUUAGCAAUUACUAAGUAUAAGUAAAUACCAACCCAAUUAAGUAGUAGAACAAAAGUGAUACAACACCCACAAUGCAAUGCAUAUGACAAAUUGAAUUUAGUUCCAUAAAUUAAUCAUGUGAGGGUCCGAGCUGCUCAUGACCGUGAGCACGGCUGAUAUGCCAGUUUUACACUCUGGAGAGGUUGCACAUUUUUACCCACUAGUCGUGUUACCCAUUUGCCAUGGGGUUGAUCGGACCCCAAACACCUCUACUAAGGAAGUGAGGCAGGGUUCCAUUAUGAGGCCUUUACAAAGUUCCACUAGCUUCAGAAAACCCGCUACAGUUUCUAGGAAGAUCCAAUGCAGGGACCCCUCGCCUGACCGCCAUCGCAGCAAAAUCAACCCAAGGGCCUCCCUACACUGACCACUCCCCUACUGCCCUUGCCCCUUUCAGGUAAGGUAGUCCUCCACUAGCUUUCCUAAUUAGUCAGCCAAGGGCGUCCCAUACCACCCUUGUGGUAGCACUGUUUUCCUGGGUGGUCGCUCCAUGUUCCAAUUAACAUAAUGAUCUUAUCAUGAACAGUAAAUAACAAACUGAUAAUAAAAUAAUGAUAAUGAAUAAUGUAUAUCUCCAUCCCAAAACCACAUAAAGCAAUAGUAGGUACUACCCAAAAAUUCAGUGGUAAACAAGGUAUAAAGAUAUCCAAACUAGGGUAACCUAUUGGGUACCAUCAAAAUUAACCUAUGCAGAUCAUUAUGAUUAAUUAGAACAUGAUUGGGUAAAAAGAAGUGAUCAAGGGCACAACUUGUUGGGAAUUGAGAUUCCAGGUACCAACUUGCUCUUCAGGUAACUCGUAACCUCGCGCUAGUCGUAGCAAUACAAACAAACAAUGUAUAGGCAAAAUUAACAUCACACCAAACAUAAGAAUAAAUUGCAUAAGAAUAUUCUACGUGUCGUAACAAGAUCGUGGGUUCGAGAAUGGCUAAAACCAGAGUUACGGUUAAAGUGAUAGGAUUUAUGGUAAAUCUUUGUGGUUUAAAUAUUAAUUUAUAUUAUAAGUUGGUUAGUGUAUAUCAUAUGAGAUACUAUUCUAUAAAAACUAACUCAACCUUAAUCUUAAUUAUAACUUAACUAGAUAUCAUAUAUAUAUAUUAAUCAAAUUAUAAAUGGAUAGGUUAACUUCGAUUAGAGGAGUUAAUCUAUUAAACAUAGGAUAGACAAAUUUCUAAUAAUAAAAGUAUGGGUUGUGAUAAAUGUUAGUGUCAAAUUGUACAGAUGAUAUUAUUAUGAAUCUAACACAAUUUGAACGUAUCAAAUCGGAGUUACGGUUCUCUAGUUAUGAAUUUCUGGAGUUAUUUAGUACCUAGAAUACAGUAAUUCAAGUGAAUAAUUUUAAAUCAAGUUUCAUGGCUAAACAAAGGUACUAGGUGAUAAAAAAUAUUAACAUGAAUUUAUUGCAACUAGAACGGAUUAAAAAGGAGUUAAAUUGAGCAAGAUAUGGAUUUAUUAAGGUUUUGGAGAUUAAAACCCAUUUUCUGAUUUAUUUUAAUAAGUCUGACCUAAUUGGAUCGGGGACACAAUUACUACAAUUUCCAGGGUCUAGCAUGUAGAUAACAGGGCCUGACUGCAAUUAGUUUAUAUAAGAACUGGAUGGCGGGUUGAUUAUUUAGAAAUCCAGGGGCUCUUUUGCAAUUGCCCCUGGCCGAAUGGGUAUGGUGAAAUACUGGCCGUCCGAUCAGUUUUCAAUGCCUUGGAUUAGAUCCCCAAACCUCGCGAACCGGUAUGCGCCCACAACUGUUGGAUCCAGGAUCUACGACCAGAUCUAAAUGGGCGAAAGGGUACACAGCAACCCAAUCUCGUCCGUCCAUUCUUUGAUCUACAGCCACUACGUUCUCCUUCUUCCUUGAGCUAGGUCGAGCGGCGUCGACCGCCCAUCACGGCGGCGCCCACACCGGCGCUAGUUGAGCUAUCCCCCACGGUGACCAAUACUUGCCCUAGAAUGGUUCCUACCCUAAUGGCUGCGUGGGCGAACACAUAGAAGAAGUUUUUACCUCGGAUUAUGGAACUUCCGGGUUCCACCCACGAUACCGCGCGGCACGGCGGCGGAUUUCCUGACACCGACGAUGAAUUAG